ACGAACGCUGGCGGCGUGCUUAACACCUGCAAGUCGAACGGAAAGGCCCUGCUUUUGUGGGGUGCUCGAGUGGCGAACGGGUGAGUAACACGUGAGUAACCUGCCCUUGACUUUGGGAUAACUUCAGGAAACUGGGGCUAAUACCGUAUAGGAGCUCCUGCUGCAUGGUGGGGGUUGGAAAGUUUCGGCGGUUGGGGAUGGACUCGCGGCUUAUCAGCUUGUUGGUGGGGUAGUGGCUUACCAAGGCUUUGACGGGUAGCCGGCCUGAGAGGGUGACCGGCCACAUUGGGACUGAGAUACGGCCCAGACUCCUACGGGAGGCAGCAGUGGGGAAUAUUGCACAAUGGGCGGAAGCCUGAUGCAGCAACGCCGCGUGCGGGAUGACGGCCUUCGGGUUGUAAACCGCUUUCGCCUGUGACGAAGCGUGAGUGACGGUAAUGGGUAAAGAAGCACCGGCUAACUACGUG
rnacentral:rRNA from 1 species